UCUAUUUGCCAUGAAGUGAUGGGACUGGAUGCCAUGACCUUGUUUUUUGAAUGUUGAGUUUUAAGCCAGCGUUUUCACUCUCCUCUUUCAUCCUCAUUAAGAGGCUCUUUGAUUCCUCUUGUGGUUUGUUGUAUUACAACAUGGGCUGAAUUCACAGACUUGCUGGUUCCUCAAGUGAAAAUUAAAACAUUGGGAUGAAGAGAAUGUGACCUUGUAAAGGGAAAUGGAGACUUUGGGGAGGAUUCAGAUAACUCAUAGCUCACCCACACCUGAAGACCCUAUAAGAAGAUUUUCUUUUCUUUUUUUUUUUUUGGCUAUGCCACACAACUUGUGGGAUCUUAGUUCCCCAAGCACAAAUCAAACUCAGGCCCAUAGCAGUGAAAGCAACAAGACUUAACCACUAGACCACCAAGGAAUUUCCUAUAAGAGAAUAUUGAUUCCUCAUUACCCACUCCUAUGAUCCUCUUCAUUUGCUUCGAUUUGUCUAACUGAAAUCCAACAUAAAAGUGUCACAGAGAGUUAAUUGUAAACUCAUAACUUGGAAGAAAAGCAUUUCUUCUAUCAUUGCUACUCUUAUAAUUUUUACAUGCCAAAAAUUAUAAGAUUUUUCAUUUCAUAUACGCAAAAAUCUUUAUAGUGUUAUCCAUCACACACUUUAAUUUCCUUUGUAAUUAACUGGAACACCUGUUUUUUAACAACUCAGCUGAAAUACUACAUUCCCCAAACUUCUUAGCAUCUAGAGAUGAUUAAGUGACAUAGCGAAAGAGACACAAGUGUAAGUCUGCUGAUUAUUUCUUUAAAAGUUUUGCUUCCCAAAGUGCUGCCCUUUCUUCUUGUACCUUUCUCUUUAUUCCCUGGAGAUGGUCAUAAUGUCUGAAGCUGUAAAAGUCAUCUUAUCCUCAUGAGGGAAAGGCAGGGAGAAUGGCUAAGACUUUAGAACUGACCUUUUUAAGCCCCUGAACAAUUCACAGUGGUUACUUUCAACUUUUCUUCUUGAUUACUUAAUAAAAUGGAAAAAUAAACCGAAUUUGUUUAAAUCAUUUAGUUGACUUUACUUUUACAUCUAGCCAAACACAAUCAUGAAUAGCUAGUGCACCAGAUAGAAAGCAUCUAUUUCCUCCAUAAAAAAGGAAAAACCCCUUAGCUUCACUGAUUGGGUCAACUUCAGUCGCACAUCAACCCUAUCUCCAAUUACUUUGGCAAGAGAGGUGCUGUGUGCUAAUUGGUUUAGUUCAGUAAGGACUCACCUUUGGAGGUGGGGUCAAUCCCUUUAAACCAACUUGUUUGCAGCUCCAUGGGGUAAGUACAGGAGAAAGAAAGGGAAGUUUGGGUGUGAAGUAGGCAGGGAGCAUGUCUGCUCCAUCUCUAUUGUAGAUAAGCCUUUAAAAUUUAUUACUAAUUAUUCUUAAUCUACUGAUCUGCCGGUUAGAUUUGACUCCUGUGUAAUUUAUAACAGAGUGAUUGGCGCUGCUUAUCUGAGCCAUGUGGUCUGACUGGGUUAAUACAUUCAAAUACAAGAUUUCAUCAAUUAGCAUCUCUGAGCUUAGUUAAAGGGAGUCCUUCAUCCCCACCUCUAAGAAAAUUUAUCCUCACCCACCAGAGUGAAAGUUUGCUACCUGGAUUCCAUCAAAUCCCAAAAGCACUGUAGCAUCCACUGUGAACAAGUCAACAAUUAACAGAAUGUUUGUCUUGUGUGGUGAUUUGGAUAUAGUGAGAUGACUACUUUCACUGUUCUGAUUUUCUAUAUGUGUUUAAUGAGCAUGUGUUAUUAUUUUGCAAUUAAAUGACUUAAUAAGUGAAAAUUUUAAAGGAAUAGAGAAAUUUCUCAUUUCUAUAGUGCUACAAUCUGUUACCUAAUUAUUCAUGAAAACAUGAGUAUUGUUUGCCCAACAAAAAGGUAGAAAAACAGUAGAAGAGCACCCCUAUGAGUGAAAGCAGACCUAUAUACCAGGAACAGUGCAUAAGAGUGAGUCUUACCUGUAGAUAUCUAGACCAUCAUGAGUUUAAUACGGGCACUGUAGUAAGCAGAGUUCUGAGAGCCUCCCAGGGCGUACCUGCUUUGCAUAAUAUCUGGAUCUUUGUAUGUGGGUCUAUCUCUUUAUUUCUAGGAUCAGAUAUGUUAUACAGCACAGACUUUUAUAACAUGUGGAUCAUUUGACUGGGCUUCACCUCCCAUGAAGCCUUCAAGAGCAGAGUUUUCUCUGGCUAGUAGCAAAAAAAGAAUUCACCCUUCAAGCACGAGAAGGAUUUUUCUGGCUGUCAAUGGAUAUGUAAGGUAUAUUGGUAAAGCUGCUCUUUCACUUCUGCCCUCUGAAUUUCACACAUAAAGGUCUCUUAUGGCCCAUUCUAGUCAGAAACAUACAGAGCAGGAAAUUCUGGGAAAGGUAGUUAGCCUACCCAAGGUGACAGCAGAGUCUCAAAAGAGAAAUUGUGUUGUGAGUCAUGGGGAGAUGGGAGCCAUUAGCAGACUUAGAUGAAUGAUUGAUGGCC